UAUGGCCAUAUCACACUGAAAUACCGGUUCCUGUAUAAUCACUGAAGUUAAGCAACAUUGAGCCUGGUCAGUACCUAGAUGGGUGGCCACUUAAGAAUGCUGGA